rnacentral:sRNA from 1 species
GCGCAUGCGCUGCGCUCGCUCGCGGGAGGGCAUGGCGGUGGCCGUGCCGGGCGCCAUCAUGGACGAGGACUACUACGGGAGCGCGGCCGAGUGGGGCGACGAGGCUGACGGCGGCCAGCAGGAGGAUGAUUCUGGAGAAGGAGAGGAUGAUGCGGAGGUUCAGCAAGAAUGCCUGCAUAAAUUUUCCACCCGGGAUUAUAUCAUGGAACCCUCCAUCUUCAACACUCUGAAGAGGUAUUUUCAGGCAGGAGGGUCUCCAGAGAAUGUUAUCCAGCUCUUAUCUGAAAACUACACCGCUGUGGCCCAGACUGUGAACCUGCUGGCCGAGUGGCUCAUUCAGACAGGUGCUUUGUGGGUGUCCCCUGUCCUGGCUAGUUACCCCCACUUUUUUAAAAAUAGACUUUUGGGUCCUUAUAACACUGAUACAAUGCCUUCUUUGAUUUCCUGGUUUCUGAGACUUGUGUAGAAAGAGCUGAACUUCUUACUCAUUUUUAUCUUUAUCUUACUCAUUUGUAUCUGCUUGCCUCUUAUCUUUGAUUCAGUAAUUGAGGUUUACUGGUAGCCUGCAAACGUGAUUCUCAUUGAGCUAUUUUCCCUACCAUGUUGUAGAAUUAUAGGAUUAUACAGUGUGUGUUCAGUGUGUCAUUUUCAAGACGUCUAUUACAGCAAGCAGUAAAUGAUGGAUAAUUUAGGACUGGCUGUGAUUAUGGCUUUUAGUUAAUAUGAUCAAAGUAGAGUCUUACUGUAAAUCCACGGAGCCGGGUGCAGAUGACAUCACUGAAGUGCGUGCUGUCCGGAAGCUUGUGGACACACUGCUGUCCCGGUGAUUAGAUACAAGUGUGUCUCUUUUGGCUGCCAUCUGCUCCCUCCUCACUGGGCAGGGAUGUUUUUCCAUCCCCCU